rnacentral:tRNA from 1 species
AGUCUAAUAUGGCAGACUAGUGCAUUGGAUUUAAGCCCCAAAAAUAAGAUUUCUUUUUUAGAAA